CGAACGCUGGCGGCGUGGAUAGGCAUGCAGUCGAGCGGGAUCGCAGAUUCAAUUCUUCGGAAAAGAUUUCUGUGGUGAGAGCGGCGAACGGGUGAGUAAUACGCAGACAACUUGCCCCCAGGACUGGGAUAGCCCCUCGAAAGAGGGAUUAAUACCGGAUGUGGUCGUCUCGCAUAAGCGAGAUUAUCCAAAGGUGCCUGCUUUGCAGGUAUCACCUGGGGAUAGGUUUGCGUUCUAUCAGCUUGUUGGUGGGGUAACGGCUCACCAAGGCGAUGACGGAUAGCUGGUCUGAGAGGAUGGUCAGCCACACUGGGACUGAGACACUGCCCAGACUCCUACGGGAGGCUGCAGUCGAGAAUCAUUCGCAAUGCGCGAAAGCGUGACGAUGCGACGCCGCGUGGAGGAUGACGGCCUUCGGGUUGUAAACUCCUGUCAUGAGGGAACAAAGCUUGCGGGUUAAUACCCCGCGAGUGUGAUGGUACCUCAAGAGGAAGUCACGGCUAACUCUGUGCCAGCAGCCGCGGUAAUACAGAGGUGGCAAGCGUUGUCCGGAUUUACUGGGCGUAAAGGGUGCGUAGGCGGUACGGUAUGUCGGAUGUGAAAUCUCACAGCUCAACUGUGAAAGGUCAUUCGAAACUGCCGAACUAGAGUACUGGAGAGGAGAGCGGAAUUCUUGGAGUAAGCGGUGAAAUGCGUAGAUAUCAAGAAGAACACCGGUGGCGAAGGCGGCUCUCUGGACAGUUACUGACGCUGAGGUACGAAAGCCGGGGUAGCGAAGAGGAUUAGAUACCCUCGUAGUCCCGGCAGUAAACGAUGUGCACUUGGUGUGGGGAGGAGUUAUCCCCUUUCCGUACCGGAGUUAACGCGUUAAGUGCACCGCCUGGGGAGUACGGCCGCAAGGCUAAUACUCAAAGGAAUUGACGGGGGCCCGCACAAGCGGUGGAGCAUGUGGCUUAAUUCGAUGCAACGCGAAGAACCUUACCUGGGUUUGACAUGCCCGUCGUAUUCUCAUGAAAGGGAGAAGUCAGCUAGGCUGGACGGUGCACAGGUGCUGCAUGGCUGUCGUCAGCUCGUGCCGUGAGGUGUUGGGUUAAGUCCCGCAACGAGCGCAACCAUUGUGUUUAGUUGCCACUCCCAAUUCUGUUGGGAAGCACUCUAGACAGACUGCCCGUG
rnacentral:rRNA from 1 species